rnacentral:rRNA from 1 species
UACGUAGGUGGCAAGCGUUGUCCGGAUUUACUGGGCGUAAAGGGCGUGCAGGCGGUUUGUUAAGUCUAGGGUGAAAGCUCCCGGCUCAACUGGGAGAGGUCCUUGGAUACUGGCGAACUUGAGGGAUGCAGAGGAAAGUGGAAUUCCCGGUGUAGUGGUGAUAUGCGUAGAUAUCAGGAGGAACACCGGUGGCGAAGGCGGAUCUCUGGGCCUUGCCUGACGCUGAGGCGCGAAAGCUAGGGGAGCGAACAGG